rnacentral:rRNA from 1 species
UUAUUAUGAGAGUUUGAUCCUGGCUCAGGACGAACGCUGGCGGCGUGCCUAAUACAUGCAAGUCGAACGCUUCUUUCCUCCCGAGUGCUUGCACUCAAUUGGAAAGAGGAGUGGCGGACGGGUGAGUAACACGUGGGUAACCUACCCAUCAGAGGGGGAUAACACUUGGAAACAGGUGCUAAUACCGCAUAACAGUUUAUGCCGCAUGGCAUAAGAGUGAAAGGCGCUUUCGGGUGUCGCUGAUGGAUGGACCCGCGGUGCAUUAGCUAGUUGGUGAGGUAACGGCUCACCAAGGCCACGAUGCAUAGCCGACCUGAGAGGGUGAUCGGCCACACUGGGACUGAGACACGGCCCAGACUCCUACGGGAGGCAGCAGUAGGGAAUCUUCGGCAAUGGACGAAAGUCUGACCGAGCAACGCCGCGUGAGUGAAGAAGGUUUUCGGAUCGUAAAACUCUGUUGUUAGAGAAGAACAAGGACGUUAGUAAC